AGGACGAACGCUGGCGGCGUGCUUAACACAUGCAAGUCGAGCGGAAAGGCCCUUCGGGGUACUCGAGCGGCGAACGGGUGAGUAACACGUGAGCAGCCUGCCCUUAGCUCUGGGAUAGCUCCGGGAAACCGGAAUUAAUACCGGAUAUUACACCGGCUGGCAUCGGCUGGUGUGGAAAGAUUUAUCGGCUAAGGAUGGACUCGCGGCCUAUCAGCUUGUUGGUGGGGUAGAAGCCUACCAAGGCGACGACGGGUA
rnacentral:rRNA from 1 species